AGCCCUGCCCUACUCUUUGGAUAUCCUGUCACUGGACAAAGGUGUGAAUUAUACAGCAUAGUUUUGAAUUCACCACCAGAGGAAGAGAUCUUGGCAAUACAUUUCCCAGAAUCCCUCCAACCGUGAUCAUGUUAACCAUGCUAGGUAAAGAAUUUAGGGAAUUAUAUUCCAAAAUAUGACUAUUUGAAGCUCUGCAGAAAAACUAGAGGCGGCUGCCAACUUGGAUGGCUUUACAACGAAAUCAUGACAGCUGGGUAUUAACUCCAGUUUCCAAGGCAGUUUUCCUUAGUAUCCCAGUUGCUGGGGAACAUCGGUGGGAGGGUGCUAUUACUCGAAUGUCCUACCUGUGGUCUUCCAUGUUGAUCAUUAUGAUCUCUGCUUCUGUUGUAAUAGAAGAGUUCAGGACUGGGAGAUGAUGAAAAGGCAAGCCUUCGGCAAGGGAAUCUCAACAAGGAAGGCAAGUAACAGAACAAAGAGUAGCCAUGUUGGCCAAACAUUUGUGUCCAUGCAUGAGUAAUUGUGGAAGUUGCUAAGGCUAAUUGCGGCUAAUUGUCAAGGUGGCUAGUGCAUGAUCAGGCAUGCAACCUUAGAAUGGCAGAGCUGGAAGUUACCCUAUGGAUUAACAAAUCCAGGCCCUGUCAAGGAGGCACGGCGAGGAAUUAAACUCCCAACCUUUGGCUCCACAAGGAGAUACCUCAACUACUGACCUAUUCAGUAGUUUUAUCAGAUAUUGAGAAUUUGAAGUAUUGUAUGAAUCCUUCUAAUAGCAGAAGAAAUGUCUCCUGGAAAGAUUGCUCAAGUGUGAGAUAAAAGAGAUCACAAAGACAAUAGCUUUCUAGAUGCAACCUGGAUUGCUCCAGACUCCCCCAUGUAUGCAUGCCUUAAGUCUUGGGAAGGAAGAGGAAGACAAGGAAAAGGAGGAGAAUGAACUGCUGCCAUCACAUGCAGAUGCUUCUUCUGCUGAACUGGAAGCCCAAAGAGUGAGGUAAGUCAGGGUUGCAGAACCUCAUAUUGAUCUAGCCAAAUUCUAGAGUACAAAUAAGACCUUUUAUGCUAAUUAAUCCAGACUACCCAUCUCAGGCUCUGCUUCUUUCCUGUAGAGUUGUGAGCUGAAAAAGUAGGACUUCUGACUGGGGGUUUAGCGCACUCUUCCCUC
rnacentral:lncRNA from 1 species